UACGGUGAAUACGUUCCCGGACCUUGCACACACCGCCCGUCAAGCCAUGGAAGCCGGGUGUACCUAAAGUCGGUAACCGCAAGGAGCGUCCUAGGGUAAAACUGGUAACUGGGGCU
rnacentral:rRNA from 1 species